rnacentral:rRNA from 1 species
CACGUAGGGUGCGAGCGUUGUCCGGAAUUAUUGGGCGUAAAGAGCUCGUAGGCGGUGUGUCGCGUCGGCCGUGAAAACCUGCAGCUUAACUGUGGGCGUGCGGUCGAUACGGGCAUCACUGGAGUUCGGCAGGGGAGACUGGAAUUCCUGGUGUAGCGGUGAAAUGCGCAGAUAUCAGGAGGAACACCGGUGGCGAAGGCGGAUCUCUGGGCCAUUACUGACGCUGAGGAGCGAAAGCGUGGGGAGCGAACAGG